rnacentral:rRNA from 1 species
UACGUAGGGGGCGAGCGUUGUCCGGAUUUACUGGGCGUAAAGGGUGAGUAGGCGGUUAUAUAUGUCAGGUGUAAAAAGCUAUGGCUUAACCAUAGUAAGCACUUGAAACUGUAUGACUUGAGUGCAGGAGAGGUAAGCGGAAUUCUUAGUGUAGCGGUGAAAUGCGUAGAUAUUAGGAGGAACACCGGUGGCGAAGGCGGCUUACUGGACUGUAACUGACGCUGAGUCACGAAAGCGUGGGUAGCAAACAGGAUUAGAUACCCUGGUAGUCCCU